AACGAACGCUGGCGGCAGGCUUAACACAUGCAAGUCGAACGCGUGUAGCAAUACACGAGUGGCGCACGGGUGAGUAACGCGUGGAUAUCUGCCUUUUGGUUCGGAAUAACCCCGGGAAACUGGGGCUAAUACCGGAUGGUUCCUUCGGGAUAAAGAUUUAUCGCCAAAAGAUGAGUCCGCGUACGAUUAGCUAGUUGGUGAGGUAAUGGCUCACCAAGGCGACGAUCGUUAGCUGGUCUGAGAGGACGAUCAGCCACACUGGGACUGAGACACGGCCCAGACUCCUACGGGAGGCAGCAGUGGGGAAUAUUGGACAAUGGGGGCAACCCUGAUCCAGCCAUGCCGCGUGAGUGAUGAAGGCCUUCGGUUGUAAAGCUCUUUGGCGGGGACGGAUGAUGACGGUA
rnacentral:rRNA from 1 species